rnacentral:lncRNA from 1 species
AUACCUGAGCGUUACUUGUAAUUACUUGGUAGCGCGCCAACUUCCCAUUCCCUGAUUCGCCUGCGCUUUGCCGAGCUCAAUAGAUGGAUCCAUCGGAGGGCUGCCAUUGAUGAAGACACCGUUGAAAUUAAAUUUUUUUUCAGUCUCGUGUGUUGGCUCUGUCGCUCCCUCCGAAUGGGUCGCGCUACUUCGGGCCCAUGACCCAGGCGUCUUUAAAUCAGGCUAUUUCAGUUUUUCCCUCUUAGUUCAACAUUUAAAGCCAAGAGACGAGAACUUCCGCCAGGGCCAGUGUGCCCGUGCGCGCCGCGCGCCUUUCUCCCACGAAAUACGGUCAUCCUCCGGGUUUUGAUGGCUCUCAAAACCUGUUCUGCUCGGAGCGUAUCUUCACUUUUGCGUCAUCGAACCCGUGCCUUACUCACGGCAGUUUACCGUGUCUUCCGCGCCACUACGCAUCUCCGUUUUUAUACUCGUCUAUGAUGCUCGCUCCGAAGGGAUCGCCGCAUCUCUGUAAGAAAUAGACUUUCUUCUUCUGCUUUUUCUUUUUAGAGUGAUCAUAAAGGUAAGAUUUUUCAUUUUUCUCUUUUAUUUUGCCGUUUGUAUUAGGAGCGCCGUGGUUGGAAGGAAAAUAAAUAUGAAUGCAGCUAAUAAUUCGACGGUGAAACUUCUAAACCACGUGUCUAGUCUGAAGUGCUUUAAAAUUUCCGCUCCUAUUUUAUCCUCUUAAAGGCGAAAAAAUCGACAUCGUCCCUUGAAGUUUUCAAAAAUAAUUUUCUACGAACCAAGAGGAAAAAUCGCGAAAGUUUUUAAGAAUUGACGUUGAAGGGUUUUCGGUUUAAUAAACAAAGUAUGACAGAAAGUCUGAGACGUCGCAAAUUGAAAUUAGUGGUUUGGGAGUUGUACCGUUGAAUCGUUCAUAGUGCCAGAGUUCUAUUGUGAAGACAAGUUCUUAUUUUAGUUAAAAGCUGGAUUAAAAAUUGAAAGAAAAAAGAAGAGCCCUUUAAAUUAGUGAAUAGGCAACGUACACAACACUACGAUAUUGACGGCAAUAUAGUGAAGUAACAAUCCAUUGCAACCUGUGCCACUGGGUUAUUUUAUGCACGGCAUAGAAGUUAAAAGUAUACGUAUAGAUCGUAAAAGUUAAUUCGCAAUAUCGCUAGGAAACAUUACGAGCCAUAUUUUCCGUAAGCCGCUGUCCGAACAUUCUCACCAAAGUUACCGGCAUUAUUUUCCAGUAAUAGUUUAAAAUAAAUAUCACUGAUAUACAUCGUAAAAAAUAUUGAGUGCUGAUGCUUUUAGAAACUUUUUAUCAAGAAUUUACAUCAAAUUUUCAAACAAAAUUUUGUAUCAACGUUGGUACCACUUAGGCUAGUCGGCAGCGACU